CUCAUUUCGGGGGUGGAGUUUCUGACAUAACUAAAGGUGGAUCGGCUAUUGUGCAACUUACAUGAGCACGGAAAAUCGCUGAUUUUGAGAAUUCCUCAGUGAUUACCCAAGCCUCAGAAGACAGUGGGAAAGCUUUUUGCAAAUGAAGCGGAACAUGCAAACAUGCAGGGUCGUGAUCGAACUGGGUCCUCAGAACUAUGUUGCAGGAAGCAUCUUCUCCACAAGAGGUUGACAUCGAACCAGCAGAUGCUGAAUCUCCAUCUUUGGUCCAUUCCAAAAGUUGCCAGACUGAAGUGCCUAUUUGUGACGGAACACAUCUUUCUGAUAACAGAGAGAAUACUGCAACAUGUAUUUGAACCUCAGGUGUUCUCAAAGUACUCUUUUUGAAAGAUCAAAUAAUUCUGCGCUAAUGUUAUGUAACAUAUUUAUACAAAAAAAUAAGCAUACAGUUAAAUAAAAAUGCUAUGAUUCUACUUCUGUGGUGUAUGUUUACUUCAUAUACAAACAUAUACAUCAACAUUUCUACAAAGAAAACUGGGAUGUAGACCAUUUAAAUCCUGUGUACUAUUGGCCCUCUGAAUCAGGAAAGGUGUCACAAAUCUUUGACACACAGCAGGAUGGAAGUGGCACAUGUUU